rnacentral:rRNA from 1 species
UGAAGUAAGUAAGGGCGUACGGUGAAUGCCUUGGUGCCAACAGGCGAAGAAGGACGCGGCAAGCUGCGAAAAGCCUCGGGAAGCUGCAAGCAAGCGAUGAUCCGGGGAUAUCCGAAUGGGGUAACCUGAUCGAGGCAAUACUCGAUCGUUCAUACCUGAAUACAUAGGGUAUGAAACGCGAAACCCGCUGAAGUGAAACAUCUCAGUAAGCGGAGGAAAAGAAAGAGAAAUCGAUUCCGUAAGUAGUGGCGAGCGAAAGCGGAUGGAGCCCAAACCGAAGGUAUUCCUUCGGGGUUGUAGGACCACGUCAUAUUCGACCAUACUGGAUAGUAGAACAGCCUGGAAAGGCUGGCCGUAGAAGGUGAAAGCCCUGUAGACGAAAUCCAGAGUGGGAAUUAGUGGUAUCCUGAGUAAUACAUCACACGUGGAACGAUGUAUGAACCCGCGCGGACCACCGCGCAAGGCUAAAUACUAGUUGGCGACCGAUAGUGAACAAGUACCGCGAGGGAAAGGUGAAAAGAACCGCUGUGAGCGGAGUGAAAUAGAACCUGAAACCGUAUGUCUACAAAGUGUCAGAGCAGAGCAAUCUGCGAUGGCGUGCCUUUUGUUUAAUGAGUCUGCGAGUCAGUGUUUGUGGCAAGACUAAGGGCUUCCGGCCCGGAGUCGCAGCGAAAGCAAGUCCGAACAGGGCGCAAUAAGUCGCAGGUACUGGACCCGAAGCGGAGGUGACCUACCCUUGGCCAGGUUGAAGCAUGGGUAAAACCAUGUGGAGGACCGAACAGGUGAACGUUGAAAAGUUCUCUGAUGAGCUGAGGGUAGGAGUGAAAGGCUAAUCAAACCCCGUGAUAGCUGGUUCUCUUCGAAAUGCAUUUAGGUGCAGCGUCACGUGCUGAUGCGCGGGGGUAGAGCACUGACAAGGCUAGGGGGCACACCCGCUUACCAAACCUUAUCAAACUCCGAAUACCGUGCAAUGGAACGUGGCAGUGAGACAGUGGGGGAUAAGCUUCAUUGUCGAGAGGGAAACAACCCAGACCAGCAGCUAAGGUGCCUAAAUAACGCUCAGUGGAAAGGAUGUGGGAUUACACAGACAGUGAGGAUGUUGGCUUAGAAGCAGCCACCAUUUAAAAAAUGCGUAAUAGCUUACUCAUCGAGUGAUCCUGCGCCGAAAAUGAUUGGCGAUCAAGCGUUAUACCGAAGCUCUGGACUUUGCCGCAAGGCAGAGUGGUAGAAGAGCGUUGCAUGCGCGUCGAAGGGUGAUGGCGACUGACCCUGGAGCACAUGCAAGUGAGUAUGCAGACAUGAGUAACGUUAAGCCGGGUGAAAUCCCCGGCCGCCGUAAACCCGAGGUUUCCAGGGCAACGUGUUUCGUCCCUGGGUUAGCCGGGACCUAAGCCGAGGCCGAGAGGCGUAGGCGAUGGACAUCAGGUUAAUAAUCCUGAGCUCGCGACCCUUAAACUGGGGGGACGCAUGAGAAAAGAUGACUAGGUUAUUGAAUUCCGAGUUGAGUCCACGGACUCAGCGCAUCAUUGGAUCGAGUGCCAAGAAAAGCCCCAGCGUAUGCUAAGCGACCCGUACCGCAAACCGACACAGGUGGGUGGGUAGAAUAUACCAAGGCGUAAGAGUGAAACCUGGUUAAGGAACUCGGCAAAUUAGCCCCGUAACUUCGGAAGAAGGGGUGCCUGCAGAGAUGCAGGCCGCAGAGAAAUGGCCCAACCGACUGUUUAUCAAAAACACAGCACUCUGCAAAGACGCAAGUCGAAGUAUAGGGUGUGACACGUGACCAAUGCCGAAAGAUUAAGGCAAGGGGUUAGCCGCAAGGCGAAGCUCUGAACCCAAGUCCCGGUGAAUGUCGGCCGUAACUAUAACGGUCCUAAGGUAGCGAAAUUCCUUGUCGGGUAAGUUCCG